CACGUAGGGUGCAAGCGUUAAUCGGAAUUACUGGGCGUAAAGCGUGCGCAGGCGGUUAUGUAAGUCAGAUGUGAAAGCCCCGGGCUUAACCUGGGAACUGCGUUUGAAACUGGGAGACUUGAGUGUGGCAGAGGGGGGUGGAAUUCCACGUGUAGCAGUGAAAUGCGUAGAUAUGUGGAGGAACACCGAUGGCGAAGGCAGCCACCUGGUUGGAUACUGACGCUGAGACGCGAAAGCGUGGGGAGCAAACAGG
rnacentral:rRNA from 1 species